rnacentral:antisense_RNA from 1 species
CUUCAACGAGCCCAGCAGCAGCGGUUGUUCGGCCGGCCGGUCCUGCCCGUACACCGCGAUCAGGGCCUCGGCCUC